rnacentral:miRNA from 1 species
ACUGCACUAAAAUUUUUGGAG